rnacentral:tRNA from 1 species
UGUUCUGUGUCCAAGUUGGUUAAAGCACCGGUCUAGCGGAAAUGGGAUCGUGGGUUCAAAUCCCACCAGAACGC